CCACCUCGCCUGGCCCACGCCGGGGCUCCGGCCCGGCCGCGGCGUGAGCCGCGCUAGCUUCAUCCGCCUGCCGCGCCUUGAUCUUUUUGGAGUCGUUUGUCGAAGAUGGAUAUAGAGCACUGGACAGAUCUAAUUUCUCCUUGCACUUUAUGAGUCAAUUUUAUUUUUAAAAUAAAAAAAAAUUUAAAUAUC